AUGAACGCUGGCGGCGUGCCUAAUCCCUGCAAGUCGAGCGAACAGACGAGGAGCUUGCUCCUCUGACGUUAGCGGCGGACGGGUGAGUAACACGUGGAUAACCUACCUAUAAGACUGGGAUAACUUCGGGAAACCGGAGCUAAUACCGGAUAAUAUAUUUAACCGCAUGGUUCAAUAGUGAAAGACGGUUUUGCUGUCACUUAUAGAUGGAUCCGCGCCGCAUUAGCUAGUUGGUAAGGUAACGGCUUACCAAGGCAACGAUGCGUAGCCGACCUGAGAGGGUGAUCGGCCACACUGGAACUGAGACACGGUCCAGACUCCUACGGGAGGCAGCAGUAGGGAAUCUUCCGCAAUGGGCGAAAGCCUGCCGGAGCAACGCCGCGUGAGUGAUGAAGGUCUUCGGAUCGUAAAACUCUGUUAUUAGGGAAGAACAAAUGUGUAAGUAACUAUGCACGUCUUGACGGUACCUAAUCAGAAAGCCACGGCUAACUACGUG
rnacentral:rRNA from 1 species